rnacentral:rRNA from 1 species
AUUAAGGUGAAACCGCGAAUGGCUCAUUAAAUCAGUUAUGGUUCCUUAGAUCGUACCCACAUUUACUUGGAUAACUGUGGUAAUUCUAGAGCUAAUACAUGCAAACUAGAAUUCCGACCAGAGAUGGAAGGAAUGCUUUUAUUAGAUCAAAACCAAUCGGUGGUAUAUAAUUUAUUAUAUAUCCAUCGUUAAUUUUGAUGACUCUGAAUAACUUUGUGCUGAUCGCAUGGUCUUGUACCGGCGACGAAUCUUUCAAAUGUCUGCCUUAUCAACUGUCGAUGGUAGGUUCUGCGCCUACCAUGGUUGUAACGGGUAACGGGGAAUCAGGGUUCGAUUCCGGAGAGGGAGCCUGAGAAACGGCUACCACAUCCAAGGAAGGCAGCAGGCGCGCAAAUUACCCACUCCCGGCACGGGGAGGUAGUGACGAAAAAUAACGAUACGGGACUCAUCCGAGGCCCCGUAAUCGGAAUGAGUACACUUUAAAUCCUUUAACGAGGAUCCAUUGGAGGGCAAGUCUGGUGCCAGCAGCCGCGGUAAUUCCAGCUCCAAUAGCGUAUAUUAAAGUUGUUGCGGUUAAAAAGCUCGUAGUUGAAUUUGUGUGCCACGCUGUCGGUUCAUCGCUCGCGAUGUUUAACUGGCAUGAUUGUGGGACGUCCUACCGGUGGAUUUAGCUUUAUAUAUUUUUAAAUAUAUUUAGCGAUCCAGUUUAUAUCCCGUCGCGGUGCUCUUUAUUGAGUGUCGAGGUGGGCCGGUACGUUUACUUUGAACAAAUUAGAGUGCUUAAAGCAGGCUUUUUUUGCCUGAAUACUGUGUGCAUGGAAUAAUAAAAUAGGACCUCGGUUCUAUUUUGUUGGUUUUCGGAACCCCGAGG